rnacentral:rRNA from 1 species
UUGAAAGGGAAACGAUUGAAGUCAGUCGUACCGGUGGGUAAUCAGCCUUUCGGCGUGAUUAUGUGGAGCGUGAGGAGUCAAACGCCCUCAUGCCUGCAUAUUCGUGUUCUUUAGGUGUACUUACCCGCAUGGUAGGUUAACAUCAAUUUCGAACCGUCAUAAAAUGGUUGGAGGAAUGUAGCUUCGAUCUCGUAUUGAAGUGUUAUAGCCUUCGGCAGAUGUGAUGAUCGGGAUUGAGGAUUGCAACGGAUACCCCUCGGGCUACCCGUCUGAUCUCUGAAAGUUACUCUGGUGCCGAAAGCUCGCUUACGGUCAUCAAAGUUGACGUUCAACAGAUUAGAACGGGAUAAAUUCGUUAAGGAUGUUGACGUA